rnacentral:rRNA from 1 species
AUACGUAGGGGGCGAGCCUUGUCCGGAAUGAUUGGGCGUAAAGGGCGCGUAGGCGGCCCGGUAAGUCUGGAGUGAAAGUCCUGUUUUUAAGAUGGGAAUUGCUUUGGAUACUGUCGGGCUUGAGUGCAGGAGAGGUAAGUGGAAUUCCCAGUGUAGCGGUGAAAUGCGUAGAGAUUUGGAGGAACACCAGUGGCGAAGGCGACUUACUGGACUGUAACUGACGCUGAGGCGCGAAAGUGUGGGGAGCAAACAGGAUUAGAUACCCUGGUAGUCCACACUGUAAACGAUGAAUGCUAGGUGUAGGGGGUAUCGACCCCUUCUGUGCCGCAGUCAACACAAUAAGCAUUCCGCCUGGGGAGUACGGCCGCAAGGUUGAAACUCAAAUGAAUUGGCGGGG